rfam:Schistosoma mansoni strain Puerto Rico chromosome 2, complete genome
AUCCAGCUGAGGAGUCCUAAACAGGAUGAAACGAGAGUCUUGGAU